CUGCAUUUCCAGGUAAGGCUGAGAAAGACUCCUGCCUGAAGCCUUGGAGAGUCACUGCCAGUUAGUGCGGACAACAGAGAGCCAGAUGGACCAAUGAUCAGGAUACUGCUGGAUGAGGCCUGUGGCCAGAAGGGUCAUGAUGAGGGGAGAAGGGAGUCCAAGGGGUACCCCGGAAGGAGGCAUCAUCGGCCAAAGGGAAACAGCAAAGCCCUCCAGCUACAAGGAGUCUAAUGCAGGCAAAGCGGUUCUCUUUACUACCUCACCCAGUGAAAGUGAUUGGCAGGAAAUCCAGGACAACCAAACUCCGUCACCCAUCAGUUUUUCAACAAAAGAAAAGUUCUCAAAGGAGUUUACAAAGGAAAAAGAAUGAGGAGGUAUUGCAAUCCCAGAAGAAACACAAGGGAGUCCCAGCAACAGCCACUGGAAGGGACACUAUGCUGACGCUGAAUAGAUUUCUCCUGCAAUGCUCUGAUGUUACAUCACUUCCCUGCGAAUCUCUGGUAUUAGGUUCCUUUCCUUCCAGAUUCACAGCCACCAAGCAAUCAAGGAGAAGUGGAUUGAGGCAUCUGCCAAGCCGCACGGCCAGUGCCAAGCACCUUCCGAGAUGUCAGCUGGAAAUCCCUGAGUGGCCAGAAAAUGCCUAGUGGCCAACAGCUUUAUUAUCACGAGAGGUAGAUGACAAAAAUCCUUACGAGUAUCUGUCCCCUGAGAUGAUGGCCAGAAUUUGUAGAUUUGGCUGAUGGACUACUGUGAAUUCCACCUCAUGCACUGAGAUGUCAGGCAGAGCUGAUCAAGAAAUCCACCAUGAGAGAGACCGACAGAGAGACAGAGAGAGAUGCCUGCUGGUUAAUGCUAAAAGAGAAAGACUAAUGACCUCUUGGACCUUUCUUCACUAAAGUCUGAAAUGAUGAAAUUAUGUUUUAACCUCAGUGCCAGUUCCCGAGACAAGUGAUUCACAGCACCAAGAAUUUGGGGGAAAUAGAUCCCAUAAUAUUCUCCACUCAGAUGCUUAAUAUCUUAUCUUUACUGCUUGUUACAGACCAGGAUCCGAUGUAACUGUCACUGAGAGAGCAAAAUUUAUUCUGUCCUUCCAUCUCUGCCUGUGUUAUCACCCCAUGCUGCUGACAGGCUAUAGGAAAUGGGCUUUUUAAAAAACACAAAAAAACACCAUGCACAUCAGAAAUGCCAGUAUGUGGCACUUUCAGCAGCAAAAAAAGGGCCCUGAGACCACAGUUGGACAAGUUCACAAUCCCAAAUCAGACUGUUUCGCCCAGUCCUAAUUUCAGGUAUCCUCCCCCCCCUCCACACACGAUUUUAUUUUUUAUUGGAAUAGCAGAAGGCUGUGUUCUUGAAUAAUCUCCAGUGCAGUCUACCACGUGACAUGGCUGAGAAACAUACCCCCAGGACUGGCCCUACCAUCCACCAAAUAGAAGCAAUUAGCCUCAGGUGGUGGAUUUUGGGGGGUGGCGGCAGCAGAUCUGGAGCCAUCCCCUCCUGCUGUGGCUGGCACCACUCUAGCCAGCUCAGCUCUAUGGCCAGAAGUCCCUCCUCCUCUUCCUGCCUGCUGCUCUUCUUUCCCUUUCUCCUACUCUUCUUUUAACUGAGGAUCCGCAGAGGAGAAACUAAGGCACCUAGAUCGUUUGCCUGUGCCAGGUGCAGCCAACACCACCGCCGCGGCUGGGUGGCUUCAAGAAGUUUUGCUCACAGCCUACCCAGUGAGCUGGUGUGGCAAGAAGGCAUCCAUGGACUCCUUGCUGCCUUCUCUCACAAGACCAGGAGAGCUGGUCUUGUGGUAGCAAGCAUGACUUAUCUCCUUAGCUAAGCAGGGUCCACGCUGGUUGCAUUUGAAUGGGAGACUAAAUAUGUAAGCACUGUAAGGUGUUCCCCUUAGUGCGGGGAUGUCAAACUGUGGCCCUUCUGCAGAUGUUGGCCUACAACUCCCAUCAUCCCUGGCUAUUGGCCACUGUGGCUGGGGAUUAUGGGAGUUGUAGUCCAAAAACAGCUGGAUGGCCAGACAUCCCUGCCUUAGUGGAUGAAGCCGCCCUGGGAAGAGCAUCCAAGGUUCCAGGUUCCCUCCCUGGCAUCUCCAGAUAGGGCUGAGGGAGACUUCUGCCUGUAGAA